GUGCCAGCCGCCGCGGUAAUACGAAGGUCCCAAGCGUUAUCCGGAUUUAUUGGGUUUAAAGGGUGCGUAGGCGGCUUAUUAAGUCAGUGGUGAAAGCUCCAUGCUUAACAUGGAAAUUGCCAUUGAUACUGAUGAGCUUGAGUAGAUUUGAAGUGGGCGGAAUGUGUCGUGUAGCGGUGAAAUGCUUAGAUAUGACACAGAACACCGAUUGCGUAGGCAGCUCACUAAACUCUUACUGACGCUGAGGCACGAAAGCAUGGGGAUCAAACAGGAUUAGAUACCCCAGUAGUCC
rnacentral:rRNA from 1 species